CGGGUGGAUCCAUAAAGUCGGCCCGGGGAAUUCAACUUGCCGUUUGGGCUGCGGGCGUUGGGUCAGGGAUCCGUAAAGACCCGCCUGGCGUUCGGCAGUCGUCGGCGAGUGCACUUUCCUCGGGUAGAGCGCCACGACCGGUUUCGGAGCGGUCAUAAGCCGGCUGGGAAGGUGACUUCCUCCUCGGAGGAAGUGUUAUAGCCCGGCCAGGUCGGCUCGUUCCGAGACCGAGGAUUUGCCGCGUCUCACUGCCCCUGGCUCUCUGGGUGCGUUCGACUGGGGAAGCACUGCUUGCAGUUCUCUCCGACUGCGUGCCUUGAUUGGUCGGGAAGCACGAGGCGCUUCGGGUCAGUGGCGAAUCGGUCGGUCCUCCACCCGACCCGUCUUGAAACACGGACCAAGGAGUCUAACAUGUGCGCAAGUCAUGGGGUUCUGUACGAAACCUAAAGGCGCAAUGAAAGUGAAGGUCAACCUCCGGUAGGCCUAGGUAGGAUCCCCGCGAGGGGCGCACUACCGGCCCGUCUCGACCACAUCGUUGGUGGGGCGGAGCAAGAGCGUACACGUUGGGACCCGAAAGAUGGUGAACUAUGCCUGAGUAGGACGAAGCCAGAGGAAACUCUGGUGGAGGUCCGUAGCGAUUCUGACGUGCAAAUCGAUCGUCAAACUUGGGUAUAGGGGCGAAAGACUAAUCGAACCAUCUAGUAGCUGG
rnacentral:rRNA from 1 species